rnacentral:rRNA from 1 species
UACGGGAGGCAGCAGUGGGGAAUAUUGCACAAUGGGCGCAAGCCUGAUGCAGCCAUGCCGCGUGUAUGAAGAAGGCCUUCGGGUUGUAAAGUACUUUCAGUCGUGAGGAAGGUGUUAAGGUUAAUAACCUUAGCAAUUGACGUUAGCGACAGAAGAAGCACCGGCUAACUCCGUGCCAGCAGCCGCGGUAAUACGGAGGGUGCGAGCGUUAAUCGGAAUUACUGGGCGUAAAGGGCACGCAGGCGGUUAAUUAAGUUGGAUGUGAAAUCCCCGGGCUUAACCUGGGAAUGGCAUUCAAGACUGGUUAGCUAGAGUCUUGUAGAGGGGGUAGAAUUCCAUGUGUAGCGGUGAAAUGCGUAGAGAUGUGGAGGAAUACCGGUGGCGAAGGCGGCCCCUGGGACAAAGGCUGACGCUCAUGUGCGAAAGCGUGGGGA